rnacentral:lncRNA from 1 species
UACCUUUGAAUGCACUGAGUUGGAUUUUUCUUGAUGCUGGAAGGGCCAUAUACAGAGAGUUACAUUCUCACAUUGUUGAGAAGUUAAUCUAUGUGAUUCCUAUGGGACAUUUUCAGUUGGCGACUCUUCUCCUAAAUGCUCUUGAUAAAAGAGUGAAUUAUAGAAGGAGUUUACUGUCAGGUUGCUGCCUCUUCUUCUCUUUGUUAUGUGAUUCCUAUAUGGGACCUUGUUAGUUUCUUAUAUGUUUCAUUUGCACUUCUGUCUAUUAUUAUCCAUUUCUGGUGUGGUAAACUUAAGAACUACAAUAAAUUUUUAUAGGGUGCAUGUAUAUGUGAAGUUUCAGGCAUAAGUUGUUGGAGUUCGGGUCAGUGCGUAGAGAAUGCUGAAAAUGUUUUGGAUGACAAGGACAGUAAGCAGCCGGAUAAGGAAUAAGGAAGGUGGCAAGUUUCUAGUACUAUGGUUAGAUUACUAUCAUAGGUCUCUGCCUUGUCCUGCUUCAUAGGAA